CGCCUCUCAGGAUUGCAUCUGGAGAGUUUCCAGCAUUCUACCAGUUUCAGCUAUGGGAGAAAGAGAGUCAAGCAGAAGCGUACCCAUUCCAUUCCUAGCUUUAGCAGUGGCUAGCGAGUAGAAGGCAAUCUGCUAAAAGU